GACUGGGACACCUGGAAACAACGAGGCCAAAAUUAAAUGCAGUGGGGUGGCGCCCCCCUCUUCACUCCUUUAGAGAAUUAAAAAAAACAGACCACAAUAGCAUUUGUGCAGCUAAAAAAAAGCAGUCGCGUCUAGAAAGUUGUCACGGUGCAAUCAGAUCAUGGGAAAGACGCAAAAGCUGAUUUUUAUUCAUUUAUAUAAAUAGUAUCGGUACUAGACAUGAAUGUUUAAAGUGGUUUGACAGGACUUGUAGCUUAAGUGUUCAGACGGUGAUAAUUACAGAGAACACUCAUAAAAAACAUGGACACAGGAGCGCAGAGCCAGAGGUGGGGCAGGAAAUUUAUACAGGUUGGCACCACUUGGGUGGCAAUAUUGGUCUAAACUCAGGCAGGUGGCCAAACUGGGAGCUUUCAUCCUUCCAGUUGCUUCAAUUUACACAAAGGCUUUCACAACAAUCUCAUAAAUAAAACGUUAAUACCACACAAAUAAAUCAAAACCUCAGUUUAUUGGGCAUACAGAGUAAUUUGUGGGGCACUAAAACCAGGUGUGGGUUGAUGAUUGCUCAUCCCAGCGAACAUAUUAUCCAAACUUGUCUUCUCAUCUGCUAGAUUCAUACUGGUUCCAUUUAUUUCCAUAUAGGUUGUGCGUCUAGAUUGGGGUCAGGACAUUUAUAAGCCCCCCUUGGUGGCGCCAGAUGCAUAACUGGUCUCACUGGGUCCAAAUUAAGGGCAAUAAUGAGGCUUCUCCCCCCCCAUCUCAGCAUGAAUGAAGCAGGUGAGCACGCAAAUUAUCCACCGCAGCGGCCAAUUGAUGCAAAGCAGCAACUUCCAACUUGUGCGGCGACACUUUGCAUGCAGGGAUUUCACACCAGCAGCUCCAUUAACCGCGGCUGCAAACCUCAACCGCGAUGCAACUUCCAACUUGUUCCGUCCGGGCCUCAUUGUCACCCGCAAAUAACUGAGAUUAAGAGGGAGAAUCCGAGAGGAACACGGAGAGCAGCCGCUACCAGCUCCCCGGACCGGAGUCUUGUCAUGGAUGAGAAGCUGCCAAUCAAAGAGGAGGUGACAGCCGCCCUCCCUUCUCUCUGCAUGUCACUGUCUCGCUCUCAUCAGCCGACUGCCAAACGUCAGAUAGGCCCCAAAGGAUGCUGCAGAUAGCCUGAGCCGCUGCAGACGCUUGGACUGGAACGUUUCACAGGCGCAUACCUGCAUAAAGCGCAUUUUGCAUCCCACACCGGAAUUUGUUGAGACCGUUUCUCCUUCCCGUUCUGGUAUGACUCCGCCAUCUUGUUUCUAUCAACGGCACCGUUUAAAGAUGACCAGCGGCGCCCUCUUCUGGAUGGCGGCCAACUACAACACUGGCAUUACGUAAAAUCGAAAUUAUUUGUUAAAAUUUCCUGGUAAAACUUCAUUAUUUAAAGAAAUUGUUAAACAUUUCUUUCGUGACUGAUGGGAAAUUCAGCUUUAUGAAGUAUUAUUCUCAUGUCAUGGUAAAAAUGAUAUGCAAAUUAACACAAAGAUGAGUUUCUCUGUGCUACUAUUAUGUUAUUGGUAGCUUAUUUUUUUAUCUUACUAUCAUUAGUUUUAUUUUUCUCUGUUUUUUAUUUUUAUUUAUUGUUAUAUAACACAGAUUAAUAAUAAUUUCUAGGUGUACAUUGACAAGGGGUUGGUAAUUAUUGUUGUAUGUCUGGUUGUUAAUUACAAUUCUCAUUAUUACUAUUAUUAUUAUCCAUAGAUUUUCUUGUCUUGCUACGAGUUAGUUUGUGACCAUUUUGUCUAUGUAAUAUAAUUUAUUUGUUGUCUCUUUAGCCCAAUCUAGGUACAUGAAUAUUAUAACAUGGUUUCAAUUACAAAUUUUUGGUUUAUUGAAUUGGUAAGAAUUAUAUUUCAUUAAAUUGAAAUAAGGGGUAGGAUUAAAUAAAUAUUCACUUCUUCCUACACCUU